rnacentral:rRNA from 1 species
UACGUAGGGGGCAAGCGUUGUCCGGAUUUAUUGGGCGUAAAGAGCGUGUAGGCGGCCAGGUAGGUCCGUUGUGAAAACUCGAGGCUCAACCUCGAGACGUCGGCGGAAACCCUCUGGCUAGAGUCCGGAAGAGGAGAGUGGAAUUCCUGGUGUAGCGGUGAAAUGCGCAGAUAUCAGGAAGAACGCCCGUGGCGAAGGCGGCUCUCUGGGACGGUACUGACGCUGAGACGCGAAAGCGUGGGGAGCAAACAGG